UUGCACUCCAGCCCGGGUAACAAGAGCGAAACUCCAUCUCAAAAAAGAGCUCCCAAAGCACCCACUGACCUGCCAGCUGCCAUCCUCCACCCGUCCCUGAAGAAGACUCACGAGUGGUAACUCCAUCUAUCACCACUGUCCCUGCUCCAGGUGCCACGGCCUCGUGACGAGGAACAGCCUCCCCACACAGCACACCAAAUAUUCGAAGUCUUCCCCUCUCUCCCGUUUCCACGUAAACAUAAAGUCCUAGCUCACCUAUUCAUUGCUCAUUUGCAAUGAGAAUUUGAUGAGCCAUGUGACGUUAUUAGCUGCCUCAGAGACCCUCUAGAAGAGGCCAUGCAUGUCCCUGUACAGCCCCUACCAACUCCUUCCCCCAGAUACAGAAUCCCAUUCCUUCUCAAGUUUGUAUUUUAAUAGUCACCCACCGCCUCUGCUCCCUCAGACUCCCUUCUCACUUCUACAUGGCUCGCAGGCUCUCUGUAUCUCUCACUCCUUGUUACUGAGGCUCAAACGCUCUCUGUAUCUCUCACUCCUUGUUACUGAGGCUCAAACGCUCUCUGGCUCUCUCACUCCUUGUUACUGAGGCUCAAACGCUCUCUGGCUCUCUCACUCCUUGUUACUGAGGCUCAAACGCUCUCUGGCUCUCUCACUCCUUGUUACUGAGGCUCAAACGCUCUCUGGCUCUCUCACUCCUUGUUACUGAGGCUCCCACGCUCUCUGGAUCUCUCACUCCUUGUUACUGAGGCUCAAACGCUCUCUGGCUCUCUCACUCCUUGUUACUGAGGCUCAAACGCUCUCUGGCUCUCUCACUCCUCGUUACUGAGGCUCCCACGCUCUCUGGCUCUCUCACUCCUUGUUACUGAGGCUCCUGCGCUCUCUGGCUCUCUCACUCCUCAUUGCUGAGGCUCCUGCGCUCUCUGGCUCUCUCCUUGUUGCUGUGCUCCAACUCUACACUUGCUUCCCGUUGCUGCACCUGCGUUUCCCUUUCUUCUACUGCCUACUCAGCACUCCCAGUUUCUCAGCCCUGGGACCAUACUCCUGUUCGCUUUUUCAUACACCAUCCAAAAAGCCUCUGCUUUUGUAGACAGAGCCCUCACUCUCACUGCAAACUAUCCACUGCCCUAACAGAGCCACCAAACUCUCCACAUACACUGCCAACUACAACCGUGCAAAACUCCCUCACCCUGCCAUCCAAUGUUCUAGAACCCUCCACACCACAAAAGUUGGCCAGGCCCCCCCAUGUGUCACCUCUUGGAAUGGACACAUACACACAGGCACCAUCCCUCCCUCUGCCUGUGGCUCAACUCAGACCAUCUCUCAUCCCUCUUCCCAUGCCUCACUCUGAGUAAAUUAUUCAGUGACCCCUGAAGCCAACGGCCACUUUACCCAGCCCCUCCACAUGACCUCCCCUCCUGCCUCUCAAACAUGGAAGCCCCUUCCCCAGACAGGAGUUCUCAAAGGGGUCUCCCUCACCUCCUCACUCUGGGUUGCUGAAGCUGAACCGAGUCCCUCCAAACGAGGAACCCACACACUCCAACACCUACUCUCUCCUUGUCUGUUUGCAUUAACACCGCAGGCGUCUUCUUCCUCUGCGGAUCCACAACCUACUUCUGUCUCCCUACCCGCUGGACAGGACCGUAAUAAAGCUUUCACGCAUGGAACGAUACAAGAUAUGACGCUGCUCCAAGAAUAUUGACAUCUCCAGGAAUGACAACCCUACUAUCUAGUCCCCCUCCCCCGGUCUCCCCUUUCCAACAAGUAGCAGCCAGAUAACAACAGCGCCCCUCUUCUAUUACCUAUUAACAGACAGGAACGUUAGGGACAAGCUGCCUCGGAAAACCCUCUCCACAUAACUGAACCCCCCACACUCAAGAGUGCUCGGAAGCUGGAUUCCUGAACUCCCAACUAGAUGCUACAGCUGUUCUACUCCUGGUCUACAGAGAGCUGACGGUGCAUCCAGAUGUGGCCCAUGAACAAUCCUCGCUGCCCAGCAGCCCUGACACCAUGGGAGACCCACACCCUGUCUCCAUCCAUGUCUGGGCAUGAGUCCUCUUCCCAGAGUUCAUGUCACUGAGUCAUGAGAGAUGGAAUCUGUUAGGCCUCCAAGUACAGGCCUGGCCAUUUUAGCUUUGGUGACCUGCACGUACACCUCUGGAUGGUCCCCAGAAGCCAAGAAGUCUGAAGUAACCACAAGUAACCGGGUGGCCACAAAAAAAACUAAAACAACUUGUUCCUGCCUCAACUAAUUGCUGCAACCUGGACCCGUUGUUCCUGUUGAGCCUUGCAAGACUUUUCCCCCAGACAUUGGGUUUCUCAAGACCCCUCUGCCUGUAGCUAUGUAAUCUACUGCACCCUCCUCUCUGCUGCUGCCGAUACUCCCCACCCUUAUGAUCAUGCCUGUUUGUAAUCAACGACCCCUACCCUUGUAAUCAUGCAUCCCGUGAUGUCCUCCCCCUCCCCAAGAUUACCUCCUUUAGCUGACCAUUUGCCCCAACCUGUUUCUCAGACUUGGCCUGCUUGCACCCAAGUGUGAAAUAAACAGCCUUGUUGAGCACACGAA